rnacentral:rRNA from 1 species
UACCGGGGGUGCAAACGUUGCUCGGAAUUAUUGGGCGUAAAGCGCGCGUAGGCGGCUACUUAAGUCGGAUGUGAAAGCCCUUGGCUCAACUGAGGAAGUGCACCCGAAACUGAGUGGCUUGAGUACUAAAGAGGGUCGCGGAAUUCCCGGUGUAGAGGUGAAAUGCGUAGAGAUCGGGAGGAACAUCAGUUGCGAAGGCGGCUCUCUGGACCAGCACUGACACUGAGGCACGAAAGCGUGGGGAGCAAACAGG